GAAAAAGAGGAUGUCAGCUACUGGGACCAGCAGGAUCUCAUCAUGAGGGUGAAACUGACUGACAGAGUCAGAAAUUGCUUCUGCAUGAACAUUGGUUUUAUUCUCAGAAGACUCAUUAGCAGCAUUCCAGCACUGUACAAGAAGGAGAGAUGUUCCAGGAGCUCCAUUGUCUUCAUGCUUCCUUGAUGAAAUCAGCCCUGUCUCCUGGUCCAUGUGCCUCUUGUACUGAGGAGCCCAGAACUGGACCCAGCAGUUCAAAUAUGGUGCCAGUAGGAAUUUCAAAGGACAUGAGUAAGGUAUCUCUGGCAUGGAGUUCCUGUGGGCUCAGAAGAGCAAGAAUAAAGAGCUGAUUCAGCAGAGAUCAAGACGUCAUAAAACUGCCAAGGACAAAUGGCAGGUAUUGAAGAUUACUUUACCUGAAAACAGUUGUAGCUGUCUCCUUUCUGUCACUGAAAGGUAACUCAGGCAGCCUAUCACUCUUGGUAAAUAUUACAUAUUGUAUCUCGUAUUCACCUCAAAUCAGACAGUGUGAAAAUUACUUCACAACCAAGAGGUACUUUUUCCUAAGGUGCAUCACACCACAAAUUAUUACAAAGUGUCCAUAUAGAAAGCCUGAAGUACACAUAGCAGUAAUUUAUGUAGCAUGUCAUUAUAACAAAAACUAGUACUGUAAGGAAAAGAAGAUAUGCAAAGGAGAUAUUCUUUCCCUAGGAAACUCCAUGCCUGGAUGCAAGUUGCAUUUCCAGACGUGUAUUUACAACUUCUGACAGUGUGUAUGGUUAUGACAGUGAUGAAUUUACACCGUCACUUUUUUGUAUUUAAACUACCAUCUAAAAAUACCUGAGGAGAUUCAAAUGUUUGUCCUUUGGUGCUUUA